UUCUCUCCAUGGGAAUGUCUUUUUGAGGAAAAGUUCACACCUCAGUAUGGAUAUGUGACAUCACAUGCAAGAAACUAGAUGAGUUGUUGCAUGAGUAAGACUUUGCCACCUUAUCUAGGUUUUGAAGUAUCAAAAGUACUAGGAAUUUUGGAAAAACAUUUGAGAUAUCCAAAGAUACAUUGACUGAGAUCAGAUUAAAGGACACUCAGGACAAUGCAGAGCCAUAUAUCAAUUAUGAUGGUAUUCCAUUCCUAAUUAUGGGGAAGAAAACAAUGGAAUGUCAUCAGGGUUUUGACAGAGACAUCUGACCAUACCUUUCACAAGAAACGCAGACUUGUUCAAAUCAGCAAGAAGAAAAAGUGCCCAGUCAGAAUUAAAAUUCGACAUGUAUUGAAGUUUUUAGAUUACAAGGCUUCAACUAUUUUACAACCUAUGGACAAGCGUUUGGCAGAGUACAUCAAGCAGGUUGUGAAUGAAUUUGGCGUAACCAGCACUUUAAGAAUGAGAUUGCUUCUGGAAGUUUUUCUGAAGCAGUCUAUAUUUAAAGAUUCUCCGUUGCCACCAAAACAU